rnacentral:rRNA from 1 species
UACGGGUUGAAGCAUGACCGUAAGGACAUGUGGACAGUAUGGGAGUGAGAAUGUUGGCAUGAGUAGCGAGAUGUGGGUGAGAAUCCCACAGGCCGUAAACCCAAGGUUUCCAGGGGAAGGUUCGUCCACCCUGGGUUAGUCGGGACCUAAGCUGAGGCCGAAAGGCGUAGGUGAUGGACAACAGGUUGAUAUUCCUGUACUACCGAU